AAGUCCCAAUUGGCAAUUGCUUAAGAGCCAGCCCCUUAAACUGUUAGAUUUUGUGAGACCUCUAAAAUGAAGACAAGCUUCCUUGCCCCUAUAUUAUAAUGCUGGUGAAGCACAAACAUACAUCAUGAUUCUUAAACUAUGAAGACCGGAAACACCAAUUUCUUUUUAUUUGUGAUUCAUCUAAAUCCUCAACUGCAGAUUUAUUCUUCACAAUGCAUCAACUGCAUAUCAUUAUGAAGUCCUUUAGCACCAUCAAAUGCUGCUAUGUGGUAAUAUUUGCACCCACGACAUUCAUGGAGACAUAACCUGGUUCUU